rnacentral:rRNA from 1 species
GAGUUUGAUCGUGGCUCAGAUUGAACGCUGGCGGCAUGCCUUACACAUGCAAGUCGAACGGCAGCACGGGAGCUUGCUCCUGGUGGCGAGUGGCGAACGGGUGAGUAAUGCAUCGGAACGUAUCCUGGAGUGGGGGAUAACGUAGCGAAAGUUACGCUAAUACCGCAUAUUCUGUGAGCAGGAAAGCGGGGGACCUUCGGGCCUCGCGCUCUUGGAGCGGCCGAUGUCGGAUUAGCCAGUUGGUGAGGUAAAGGCUCACCAAGGCGACGAUCCGUAGCAGGUCUGAGAGGAUGAUCUGCCACACUGGAACUGAGACACGGUCCAGACUCCUACGGGAGGCAGCAGUGGGGAAUUUUGGACAAUGGGGGCAACCCUGAUCCAGCCAUGCCGCGUGAGUGAAGAAGGCCUCGGUGUAAG